ACUCAAAGGAAUUGACGGGGGCCCGCACAAGCGGCGGAGCAUGUUGCUUAAUUCGACGCGACGCGAAGAACCUUACCAGGGCUUGACAUGUAGGGAAAAGCCGUGGAGACACGGUGUCCGCAAGGGCCCUACACAGGUGUUGCAUGGCUGUCGUCAGCUCGUGUCGUGAGAUGUUGGGUUAAGUCCCGCAACGAGCGCAACCCUUGUCCUAUGUUGCCAGCGGUUCAAGCCGGGGACUCAUAGGAGACUGCCGGGGUCAACUCGGAGGAAGGUGGGGACGACGUCAAGUCAUCAUGGCCCUUAUGUCCUGGGCUGCAAACAUGCUACAAUGGCCGGUACAGAGGGCUGCAAACCCGCGAGGGGGAGCCAAUCCCAAAAAGCCGGUCUCAGUUCGGAUCGGGGUCUGCAACUCGACCCCGUGAAGUCGGAGUCGCUAGUAAUCGCGGAUCAGCAACGCCGCGGUGAAUACGUUCCCGGGCCUUGUACACACCGCCCGU
rnacentral:rRNA from 1 species